rnacentral:rRNA from 1 species
GACGAACGCUGGCGGCGUGCUUAACACAUGCAAGUCGAACGGAAAGGCCCUGCUUUUGUGGGGUGCUCGAGUGGCGAACGAGUGAGUAACACGUGAGUAACCUGCCCUUGACUUUGGGAUAACUUCAGGAAACUGGGGCUAAUACCGGAUAGGAGCUCCUGCUGCAUGGUGGGGGUUGGAAAGUUUCGGCGGUUGGGGAUGGACUCGCGGCUUAUCAGCUUGUUGGUGGGGUAGUGGCUUACCAAGGCUUUGACGGGUAGCCGGCCUGAGAGGGUGACCGGCAACAUGGGGACGGGGAUACGGCCCAGACUCUUACGGGAGGAAGCAGUGGGGAAUAUUGCACAAUGGGCGGAAGCCUGAUGCAGCAACGCCGCGUGCGGGAUGACGGCCUUCGGGUUGUAAACCGCUUUCGCCUGUGACGAAGCGUGAGUGACGGUAAUGGGUAAAGAAGCACCGGCUACCUACGU